ensembl:snRNA Gm22423 predicted gene, 22423
AUCGAUUUUCAGCCUUUUGGCUAAUAUCAAGUGUACUAUUUGUUCUUAUCCGUUCAAUAUCUGAUACGUCCUCUAUCCAAGGACAAUAUAUUAAAUGGAUUUUUGGAAGUUGGAAUAGGAGUUUUCUCCAUCCAUCCAUGCAUUGAUCUGGUAUUGCAGUACCUCUGGGAACGGUGCACCCUCC